GCGGAGGAAAGAACUACAAGGAAUUCCCUUAGUAACGGCGAGUGAAACGGGAUGAGCCCAGCACCGAAUCCCUUUGUCGUAUGGCAUUUGGGACAUGUGGUGUUUGGGAGUGUCUUUGGUGCGUGGCGAGGUGUUUGAGUCCUCCUGAUCGGGGCUUGUCCCAGAGCGGGUGUAAGGCCUCUACAGCACUGAGCUGCGUGUCUAGGGCGCUCUCUGGAGUCGGGUUGUUUGAGAAUGCAGCCCAAAGUGGGUGGUAAACUCCAUCUAAGGCUAAAUACCGCUGCGAGUCCGAUAGCAAACAAGUACCGUGAGGGAAAGUUGAAAAGCACUUUGAAGAGAGAGUUGGAUAGUACGUGAAACCGUUUACAGGUAAACGGACGGGACCUUAAGGUCGGCCUUGGGGAUUCAGGUCUCUGUUGGUGGCUCGGCGUCUGUUGGUGAUACCGCUUCGUGCGGACGCCGGCGGGUGCUGUGGCUGCCGGCGGGGGCUGCAUUUCUCCUUGUGCUGAGCGUCACGACCGCCUGACUGGCAGUCAGAGGCACCUGGUCAUAGGUAGCCUGGGCCGGCAACGGUUCGGGAACUUAUAGGGCCGGGAGCGCUGUGCUACUGGUUGGGUGAGGAACUCGGGUCGCGCUGUGUGGGCUUGGUCGCCGCUAGCUGUGGAUCGACUGUUGGGGACUGCUUGCAGUGCUCAGCGACUGCCGCGGUUGGGUCUGGUGUCUUGACUCGCAGCGCCGAUGAGUCAGUGGCGUCGUUCCAUAGGCACCCCGUCUGACCCCGUCUUGAAACAUCGGACCAUAGUGAGUCUAGACAUGUGCGCAAGUCAAAGGGUCUACCGAAACCCCAAGGCGAAAUGAAGGUGAGGUUAGGUGUGAUCCGGUUGUCUCAUUGAGCGCCGGCAGCAACACCGGCCCGUCGUGUGACCUUUAAUGUGUCAGCGGCGAGCUGAGCG
rnacentral:rRNA from 1 species